rnacentral:rRNA from 1 species
AACGAACGCUGGCGGCAUGCCUAACACAUGCAAGUCGAACGAGACCUUCGGGUCUAGUGGCGCACGGGUGCGUAACGCGUGGGAAUCUGCCCUUGGGUUCGGAAUAACUCAGAGAAAUUUGAGCUAAUACCGGAUGAUGACGGAAGUCCAAAGAUUUAUCGCCCAAGGAUGAGCCCGCGUAAGAUUAGCUUGUUGGUGGGGUAAUGGCCUACCAAGGCGACGAUCUUUAGCUGGCCUGAGAGGAUGAUCAGCCACACUGGGACUGAGACACGGCCCAGACUCCUACGGGAGGCAGCAGUGGGGAAUAUUGGACAAUGGGCGAAAGCCUGAUCCAGCAAUGCCGCGUGAGUGAUGAAGGCCUUAGGGUUGUAAAGCUCUUUUACCAGGGAUGAUAAUGACAGUACCUGGAGAAUAAGCUCCGGCUAACUCCGUGCCAGCCGCCGCAGUAAAAC